rnacentral:rRNA from 1 species
CCAAUAGCGUAUAUUAAAGUUGUUGCAGUUAAAAAGCUCGUAGUUGAAUUUCGGGGUCUAUCCGUUGGUCGGGCUUUUGGGUCCGUACUGGCGUUAUGGAUUCCUACCUUCUGAAUAACCGGCAUGCCAUUAAUUUGGUGCGCUGGGGAAGCAGGACUGUUACCUUGAAAAAAUUAGAGUGCUUAAAGCAGGCUAUCGCCUGAAUACAUUAGCAUGGAAUAAUGAAAUAGGACGGCAUGGUUCUAUUUUGUUGGUUUCUAGGAUCACCGUAAUGAUUAAUAGGGAUAGUUGGGGGCAUUAGUAUUCAAUUGUCAGAGGUGAAAUUCUUGGAUUUAUUGAAGACUAACUUCUGCGAAAGCAUUUGCCAAGGAUGUUUUCAUUAAUCAAGAACGAAAGUUAGGGGAUCGAAGACGAUCAGAUACCGUCGUAGUCUUAACCAUAAACUAUGCCGACUAGGGAUCGGACGAUGUUAAUUUUUUAAUGACUCGUUCGGCGCCUUACG